UGUACAGCUUGAUUAGAGGUUUCAAGGUCGGCCAUAUUUCACAAAACAGUGGAGGCUUUAAUCUGCAUGCAGAAUUGGUUGUUGGGAGAUGAUAUUGUUGCUCAAGAGGUAGAGGAGCCUACAAUUGAGAACACAGAGUUCUAUGAGCAGGCUGAGAAAGAUCAUGAGAGCACUGCCUCCAGCAGAAAUACACGUUCAACAAUCCCGAAAGCAAAGGGGAAGGGAAAGGCUGCAGUGGUAAAUGUUGACUAAUGAGUUUGUGAGGUUGUGAGACUGAGUGUGAUGAACUGAUGAAGGUUUUUUCAAAUGUGUUUAAUACUUCAAGACUUGUAGUUAACUAGUUUUUAUCAUGUAAUGGUUUGUAGACUUUAAAUUUCUUAUUUCAUACUUUAAUU